GCAACACUUUAAUGCGCUCCACCAUACACACUAAUGCACAUUUAGGAUAUUUACAUGAUACAAAUAACUGUGCAUCUAUAAAAGCAUCCAUUGACUCGCAUUUGCAAAACAUUUUACAUACAUACAAACAAAUAGUGGCGUGAUGUUAUGGAGCGAGGCCCUGAACACACACACACACACACACACACACACACACACACACACACACACACACACACACACACACACACUGUAAUACUUGCAAGGAGUUAUUUAGCAUCGCCAGGCAGUACUGAGACAGUUGUAAUUAAGAAACUAACUGGAAGGGAACUCAUUACAUUUUUGUUCAUUCACUGGCAAUUGUUGGACAAAAGAACGACCGAAGAGGUGGAGGAGGAGGAGGAGGAGGAGGAGGGAGAGGGAAGUAACGUGGUGGAUAUUGUAGUUUAGAUGUGUUGGUGAGUGUUGGUAAUGGUGUGUGUGUGUGUGUGUGUGUGUGUGUGUGUGUGUGUAGUGGUAGGGUGUGAGUUCAUGUGGAGUAUGUGGUGGUGGUGUGAAUGUGUGGUUGGUUGUGUGUAGUGGUGUGGUUGUGUGUGCGUGCAGUGUUCUGUUGGUGGUGUGGUAGUGGUGGCUGUUUGUAUCGGCAGUGUUAUGAUUGUGCCAGCAUUGUUUUGGGUGUUUGUUGAUGUGGGUGGUAGUGUACGUGGGUGUGUUCGUGGUGUUUGGUGGCACGGGUGUGUCAUGGAAGUAUAGUGGCGUUGGCGGAUUAAUGUUGCGCUGUCACAAGUUGUGUGUGUCAAGUGUGUUGGUAAAGUUUAAUUAUGGUACAGAAAUAACGUACACAUAAUCUGCUGCAUCAAGGAUUGCCAGUUUCCUCAAUUUAUUCCGGAAUGUCAAAAAUAAUUCUACGUUUAAUUUGAUUUUUUUUUUUGUGGUCCAAUUAACAGGAAUAGAAACAGCGGCGAAGUUUUCCCUUACCUUAUUAAAAAAGUCGUCGUUUCUGUAAUUUUCUUUCUUCUUAACAUCGAUUCACAUUAUGAAAUUUUUUUCCAUUACUGGUAACAAAUCAGACAAAUCUUACUAAAUAACUCCACUGAAAGAGACGCCUAACAACACUAUUGAUAUAAGCAUAAUUUGAUUGAUGACUAUUAUACGUUUAGAAGUGGACAUUUCUCCUCCACCCUUUCUGGUGGCCCUUUGCCGGCACGUGACAGGAGAAGGAAGCAGCGAGGUUCACGUGCAGGGCAGCUGGUCCUGGGGGCACAAGAUAUCCGUGAUCCGGACAGAUUUGGGAGGGAAGGAGUAGUGAGCGAUGAGCGGCGUGCACAGACCAGCGAGAAGUUGUCGGCAUCGAUGAUACAGAGGCUGUCCUAGCGUGCGGCUCUCCUAGCCAAGGGUAACAGACGAAAACUGUCUAUCAGCCUUGUUCCUAGCAGGCGCCUCUUUACUAGUAUUUGCCCGAGACAAAUACUAGGAGGCUGUGAAGGCCGCGGCGCCGCCUUUAUAUCCCCGCUCCCGCCUGGCGCGGCGUGUCGGCUUCGUGACGUCACCCGGGCUGGCACUUGGGAUGAAUGCGCGCGCAGUGUGAGGCAGUGAAGCGACGAGCAGCAGCAGAAAGGUCUGGAGCAGCGGGCCGACCCAUGGAGCAGCGCAGGACAAGCAGGAGCAUCAGAGCGUCAGCGGUUUGUUUUCAUUUGUUGAGAGAUACCGCGUCUAGUUAGUUCCGAUUUCAACGCGCCAAUUACUCUAAUGGCGCUAUAGGUCUGAUUGCAGCAAAUUACUCCAGGGCAUGAGGCACGAAGCGUUCUCUCAGCCCUCCAGUGACGCCUACCCUCCGUAGCUUGCAGGGAUUGCGUGGGACUUUACAUGCCUGUGUAUUCUGCCCGUUAGUGAUCAUUGGCCGCUUUAAGUACACAAAUGAUGCCGUCCCGGGAAUUGUCACUCACAGGAGAUUGUGUGCUGCGUUAUUAUAAAUGUUUAUGUUGUGAAAACUGGAGGCUGAUGGCCCUUUUUGACGCAGCACACCCAGAGAGAGAGAGAGAGAGAGAGAGAGAGAGAGAGAGAGAGAGAGAGGGGAGGAGCAAUUUGACUGAUAGGAACUAUUUAAAACGACAAUUUACAUAUUCAUGCUGGCACACGUUCCAAAAAACAAAAAUAAUAAUAAAAAUUGUGUACGUAACUGUUGCUGCUGUCCAUUCAUAGUGCCUUUUAAGUACUGCAUCAAACACAAAGUAGCGGCAGCAUGGAGACAUUAAUCACGGAAUGACAGGUGUUGGUGAGUGGUGAAAUGUAUGCGGCGGCGGACACUGAUGAUGAUCUAUACGAGUAGGUUAUGUGCCCGCCCUAAAACUAUCUCUCAUAAUUCACCCUACAUACUAAAAAAAAGUGGAUAAAAAGUGUAUUUGGGCGCGAUCGUAUGUGUAAAAGAAUCAUGCCAAUUUUCCAGCUGAUCUAUAUAAACACUUUUUGCAGCAUUGUCAAAAUCGUAGAUGUCAAUAGUAACAGUGUGGCUUUGCAAGUGUUUAUUUCUCGUCAUGAUUAGCAUAUUUAGUGUUUAGUAGUUAUUGUAGGGCAGAUAAUUGUUAGCUGAUAUGUCUGUCAACGUCACCGGUUCUUUCGACUCACUGGUAAAGUUCAGAGCCAUCCGUUCGAACCCUCCUCGAUCGUUGAUUAUUUCGGUGUAACCUAACCUAGCCUAACCUAAUUUAACUAAACCUAACAUAAUAUAACUUGCCCAAACCUAACAAAGGCUGACCUAACAACCUAACUUGACAACCUAAUCUAACUUAAACCUAAACUAACAACCUAUUCUAACAUGUCAUAACGUAACCUAAUCCGACCUGACUUGAACUAACAAUAUUUCAAUCUUAACUAAAAGGAUAAAGUAAAUUUUUUUCCUUGAUCUUUGUUUUUAUAAGUCACCACUUGUAUCUGAUCGUCGUUUAUCUCUCUGCUAACAUUUGCAAACGACGUAACUAUUAUGUUUGUAACUACAUGAUAAUUUGCUUUUUCUAUAAACUUUUUUUGCCUGCCUACUAACUGUCUUGCACAUCACUUCAUCGGCAUGCAUUCUUAGGCCAUAUGAUCUGUUGUUGCGGCUCCAUUAAGUCACUCACUCAUUAACUCAGUCAAUCAAUCAAUUUACACAGUACAGUCCUGGUCAUAAGUUGUUCUGCUUCACCGCCGUGAUGAAUCGUAACCAGCUCAGGUUCGAAGGUUUGAACAACGGUGCGUCGUGAGGAGAGUGUUCAAACCUUCGAUUCUGAGCUGGUUAAGAUUUAUCAUGGCGACGAAGCAGGACACAACUUAUGACCAAGACAGUACGUACAUUUAUCUGGAUAAAGCAUACCUAACUUUCCAUGCUGUGUACGAUCUGGAACUUGAGUUAUAGAAAAUGUAUAAAAUUAGUUAAUCAAAUAGUCAGUGAACAACCAACCUCUCAGUCACUCGGCUCGCAUACUGUCCACAUCAGUCCUCGUAAUACCUAACUGUCUACACCGUGUGGGAAGUGAAGGCAUAGGUAUAGAAAAUAAUAUCCAUUGGAAAAGGAUGAUUACAAAUAUGAACGCCAGAAAGUGAACCCGAAACAACGUACUUUAUAAGUGAUUAUAGAUGUACACAGGAGUGAAUCGCCUCUAACGUCGUCAGGAAAAGUAAACUGCCAGAAAAAUGUACUCUAAUUCAUGUGUACUUGGAAAAUUGUUCCUAAUGUAAUUACGAAAUUGGCAGCCAUUAAGUGUACCCAGAGAAAGUGCAGUUUGAAGUAUUUUCGUACUCUGGGGUCCUUUACAUUAGUUAUAAGAGGUUAUGUUCCACCAGUGUCUUUUCUUCUACCUUUUGAAUGUUACUGAUAAUCAGUGAAUAAAAGAGUACUAGAAACCAAUGAUUAUGUUACAUGUCCUUCAAAACUCACUGUAAUGUAUGCAAACUGUGAUAGUGUAUUUCUGCUUGGGAAAGAGACCGGCCGGGAGGGAAGAAAAAGGGGAGAUGGGGAGAAAAGUCCGCUUAACUUGCCUCUCGCAAAAAAAAAAAAAGUUUGAGAAUAAGUCAAAUGCGUUGGACACUUUAGUUGUUGAGAAGUCUUUUGAAGAACCUCAAGUAGGAAGGAAGAAAAACAGAAACGGAAAUAGAAUUCUGAAGUUUACCAGGGAAAGGAAUGAAACAGUGAAGGUACUGGUUAUCUAUUGCAUUAGUGAGAUGGACAGCACAGGGGUGAGAAUACGGAGAAAGUCGUGUGUAAUGACCUUAUAAAAGCAAAGAAACAGGCAGUUGGCAAUUAAGGAAGUGGAUUUCGGGAAACGGCACAGAAAAAAAAAAAAAAGUGUAGGCAGAAAAAUGCGCGUAUCUGAGUAACACCUUGAAAGUUUGUACUGUAAAACUUUAAAAUAUGACCUCUUCCCCUCCCCCACGACAAAAAAAAAAAAAAGUGCAGCAGCUAAAAAAGAAUAAAAGGAAAAUGUGAAAUACACCGGCUCCUAAAGGUCUCGACAGUAAUGCAUUAUGGAGAGUAAUGAAGGAACGGGCCAAGGCUGAGAUUAAUUAAGCUCUCCUGUUUCUCUUCUCUUCCUCAUCAUACUUAUGAAAAAUAGUCGACUGGACAUUACUCAUUCAUGACUUUAUUAUUAUUAUUAUUAUUAUUAUUAUUAUUAUGUAUUACUAUUUGCAAAGUAUUAAAUGCGUAUCACCCAGGAGGGACAGAGAGAGAGAGAGAGAGAGAGAGAGAGAGAGAGAGAGAGAGAGAGAGAGAGAGAGAGAGAGAGAGAGAGAGAGAGAGAGAGUAGCGUAAUGUGACCCCGGCAGCGGCAGCGGUGACUGAUGGACGCAAGUAUCGAGCAGCUCCUUCCCUCUCUCCUUCACAAUAUUGGCAGUAAAUAAAGCGGCGGGCUAAUGUAGAUGGAUGACUACCAUUACCUAAGCCGAGGCCAUCACUCCUCGUCCAGGCGCGGCGCUCAGAGGCUGCUGCUUCCCAUUACUGACUGGAGAAUUGAAUAAAUAAAGUAAAUUAAUAAGAUAAAUAAAUAAAUGGUGUUGUUUUACCAUUAGCGCCUGGAGAGUUGAAAAAGAGUAAAUAAAUAAAAUUAAAUAAAUAAAAAAAUAAUAAAUGGAUGAAUAAGGUAGUAAAAAAGUAAAUUUCUGUAAUUAUUUUUUUUUAAAGAUAUGGUAAGUUCAUAUGGAAAGUUAAUUUAUUUAGAACCUGGAGUGUUAACAGUAAACAAAUAAAAUGAAGUAAAUAAAACUAACUAAAAUAUAAUAAUAAAAGCAAAUUCCUAUGAUUUUUUUUAAGGCUUCCGUAAGUUCAUGUGGAAAGUUACCCUAUUCAUAAAAAAAGUUAGUUUUUAGUGGUGAAUGACGCGUCUUGGUAAUCACUUGUAAGAUUUAUGCAAGGGAAAUUAUCGAUGUUUCUUCUUUCAUUUAAAGUUUAGUAAGAAUGUAAAUGCUCGCAUAUCUAGUUCAUUAGUUUUUUUUUCAACUUAAUUUCCUCAUGUGCGUAUCAUUAAGGUACCUAAAAAAUUGAGCAUUACCGGUGAUCUCCGUGAAACCGUUAGUAUUUGUAUGUCAUGAAACGAUCAGUAAAUUCCGAAGGCGAUCUCUUUAUUAAAGUGCGUAAGAGCAUUUCACUGAGUUUCCCCUUGACUUCCCAGCAUCUUCACUCAUUCAAGAAGUUGAGGGGCUGAUUAUCGUGUCAAAGUUUUCAUCCCUUUUACUCUCAGCCUGCGAGGAACAAUCACCUUUGCCAGUGUCUAAAAUAAGCCUUGAAAUUUUCUCCUCGACAACAAUCUUUGGUGAUGGGGUUAAAUGAUGUAAACCUCGAGGUGCACCACGUAGCACUUCAUCAUCUAAAUUUUAACUUGGUGCAGUAUGACUUUAUCUUAGGCGCCCUUUAUAAUACGUGUCAGAAAGGCUUCUUUCAUCAGGUCUUAGUGCCGCCCACGCUGCGAACUUUGCGUAACAGUGUCGAGUUGCUUCACGUAAAUUAUGACUUGAGAUGUAGAGUAUGACGUGAAUCUAGGCUUUCCUCUAUAAUAUGAGGUGUGAGAAAGUGUAUUCUUUCAUCAUUCCUUAGUGUCGUCCCUGCUGCGUGCUUCUUUGCGUAAAUGUUUCAAGUUGCUUUACAGUUUCUAGGUAAAGGGUGACGACCCAUCGCUCAUUACUGGGUGUGUCGCUGCGCUUUUAGGAGUUGAUAAUGCUACAGGUGUUUACGAUAUACCUGCAACCUUUGAUACCUGGCGUAAUGUUAUGUUUCGCGUCGCUUAUUCCGUAAAUGGAUCUGUUGCUUUACACGCCUUUCUGAGUACGGCACGGUGUCUGGCUGUAAGUGGUGUGCUCGUCGCGGCCGCUGGGGCGUGAGUGGCGCGCGCUUAUCUUUACAAGUCCUUUUGUGCUACAAUGACCUUGUGAAAUUGCUCUCACGUUGUGCCACCCAUGAUAAUUUCUUCGUUUGUAUUGAAACAACUGUAUUCAUUGCGUCGUGAAGUGUGAAUCAGUGUUUUCAAGUGUUAUAAUGGUGUUCUAUGUCCUCUCUCUCUCUCUCUCUCUCUCUCUCUCUCUCUCUCUCUCUCUCUCUCUCUCUCUCUCUCUCUCUCUCUCUCUCUCUCUCUCUCUCUCUCUCUCUCUCUCUUUCUCUCGUGUGUGUGUGUGUGUGUGUGUGUGUGUGUGUGUGUGUGUGUGUGUGUGUGUGUGUGUGUGUGUGUGUGUGUGUGUGUGUGUGUGUGUGUGUGUGUGCUGUAUGAUUUCCCGGGUAUAUCACAAGUCAGUGCACACAUGUCAGGCUCAUAUGUUUAAUUAAAUGCUUUUCACGUUUCAGAUUGACUUCUACCUCGCCGCUUCUCGUUUUCCCUUCCACUCAAACUGGGUCGCUGGCGGUGAGUGUGCAGGCAGGUCGGUGACGACAGGCGGGCAGGAGGGCAAAGGAGAGAGGUGGCGUGGGGAACAACAGGGGUCGCCGCACUAGGGAGCUUUCGGUGAAAGACGCGACAAGGAUUGGUCGCUGUACAGCAGAGAUGCUACGGUAGUGACGGUGCGGCUGUUCCGGUGCCGCCUGGUCCAUGCAGGUGGGGUGUGUCGGGGCAGGUCGGGGCUUGGCGCUUUGACGCUGUCCCAGAGGCGCACUAGCACAACACUGGUAUUAAAGGCGCACUUCUUCCGCCCGAUUAUCCGGUAAAAUGAGGGAGCCAGCAGGCCGCCGCGGACAGAAAGACAUAACAGGGUCUGAUGGCACGACUUAGGGAGGAGAAGGAAGAAGAAUAGGAGGAGGAAAAAAAGGAAUAAGAGAAGAAAGAGAAAGGAAAGGAGGAAGAGAAGGAGGAAGAGGAGGAGGAGGAGAAGAUAAGCGAGCAGCUGGAGAAAGAAGAGGGGAUGACGAAAUGGAAAAAUAAAUAAGGUUAAGAAGAUAGCAAGUUACGAGGCGACGGAACUGAUGCAGGGGCGCGACUACCUGCCAGUGCGCGGGACAGAAUAGCAGCGCCACCAAUCACAGGCAGAAAUGGGUGAAAAGGAACCGCAAGUAUUGAAGCAAGUUUUCAAGCAGCUCCGGGUUUGAAAUAUUAUGGCAUUCCAAAGGCCAUGGCGAUAAAAGAGUUGCGUGCCUUGAACUUUACGUGUCGCUGGAAAACGGAAAUGAAAAAUUGGAAUGUACGAGUAAUGCUACUGAAAAUGACGAGUGAUGUGGAAUAUUGCGAGACAUGAGGGAGUUGAAUGUUUCAGCACCUGUGGCAGUAAGAUCAUCACUACACUUAAGGACUCAGGUGUUUUGCUGCAAUUACUAGCUGGAAAUAGCUCCUGGUGAUGGCAGGAAUUUCACGGUGUGCGCGGAGUUUCAGGGCUGGUGGUUCAAGAGGCCGGCAUUUAGCGGUGUUUCAGCGGGUGGGAGGUUAACGGGUGGUGGUGGUGGAGGUAAGAAACUAACGGAUGUUGCUGGAAGUAGGAAUCUAAUGAAUAUCUUUAUGAGAAGAGCAAAUGUAAUGGUUUUACAGGGAGUGGAGAUUUAAGGAGUGUAUCGAGGUGAGAUUUAAUGCAAGUAGUGAGUCAAACGAGUGUUGCUGGAAGGAUGAAUGCCACAGUUGGAAGCUCAAGAACUGGAUAUUUCACGCUGUUUCAAGGAGAGGGAAUAACGAGAUAUUACCAGAAAUGGGAGUUAGGUUUUAUUAUUUUUUUCUCUCGCUCUUUUUUGAGAAACGGGAAUUUAACGGCCUAGCAAAGGGUAAACAUUUAACAGCAUUGCAGUAAGUAGGGAUUUAACAGUUUCUGCAGGAGUAAUAUAACGGUGUUGCACGAUGUAGGAAUGUAAUGGUGUUCACAGUGAGAAAAAAGAAAUCAUGGUAUUACAGGGACAGGUAACGAUGUUGCAGAAGGCAGGAAUUCAGCGAAUGUGUCGAGAAAUGAAAUGCGAAAUGUUGCAAUAGUUGAAAUUUAGCAGAGUUGCAAAAACAAUAGGGAUUUAAGUGCUGCUAAAAGGAGCAGCUUAAGUGUUGCAAAAAGGAAGAGUUUAUGUGCUGCAAAAGAAGUUUAAGUGCUGCAAAAAGAAGAAGUUUAAGUGCUGCAAAAAGAAAGAGCAAGUGCUGCAAAAAGGAGUUUAAGUGAUGCAAAAGAAGGAGUUUAGGUGUUGCAAAAAGAAGGAGUUUAAGUGAUGCAAAAGAAGGAGUUUAAGUGCUGCAAAAAAGGAGUUUAAGUGAUGCAAAAAGAAGGAGUUUGUGUUGCAAAAAGAAGGAGUUAAAGUGUUGCAAAUAAGAGGAGUUUGUGUUGCAAAAUAAUUUAAGUGUUGCAAAGGAGGAAUUCAGUUGCUGCAAAAGUAAAAAUUUAAGUGUUGCAAAAAGUAGUAAUUUAACAGUUUUACAAAAAGUAGGAAUAUGAGUUUUGCAAAAAGUAGGAAUUUAACUGUGUUGCAGAAAAAAAUAGAUUAUCAAGGUGUUGCAGAUGAAAAUAAGUACGAAAAUCACUGAAUAUGAAUAUCACAUGACGGAAUGACUACCGUGCAAUAAAAACGAAUAACACAACACUUAAUGACUCACGGAUAUUGCAUCGUGACAGAAUCACAUACAAUAUCAGUUGGUUGGGAAGGUCAAUAUUAUAACCUCAUUUACUUUCAAGGAUAAAAAUAUCAUAAUCUCUGAAAAAAAAAAAGCUACUAAAUAUACAAGAUCGUUAUAGGAAUUUUAUGAAACAUGGUAGGAAAAAUAAUGCAAGACAUAACAGGAAAUU